GCGGCAAUAGCUCAGUGGUAGAGCCCCGCUUCGCGCUCGGGGAGACCCGGGUUCGAUUCCCGGGUGCUUCC
rnacentral:tRNA from 1 species